rnacentral:lncRNA from 1 species
AACUAUAAAUAUUUUAGUAACAUUUUAUAGCAACCCAAUAUUCACAUUUAUAUUAUGUUAAACUAAUGUCACCCCGUUUGCCAACCUAUAAUGGCAUUAGUGAUCAAAUAUACAUAUUUGAUUUUUAACAUGAAUCUUAGUGCUCUACAUUACUUAUACAUAUACACAAGCAUAAGACUCUUAACCGUAAGCGGAGUGACCUUGGGAGAAGGUACAGCUACUGAAAUGCCAUAGUACUUACCAAGAAGAUGAGCAUACGUAGACAACUCAAUCUAGGUCCCAACUGCCUCUAAAUCUGAAAACAUGAAGUUUAAAAGAGUGAGUAUGAAACUUAGUGAGUGAACAUAAGAAGGGAACAAGCAACCGAUACGGAAACAUUUCGAAAACAUGAUGCACUUUUAUUAAAAACAAUGCAAUUUAGUUUAAUUUCUUGUAAAACCCCAUAAUUCAACCUUUGAUUAUUAAAUCCCUUAGUGUUGAAAGAUCCAUGAUAAACCAUGAAGUUGAAAAGAAUGAAAGUUUCAGCAAAUGUCCAAGCAAGACAAGCAAAACAAAGGGUUUCUCGCUGCAGCGAAAAAGCAUUCUAUGUUUGCAUAUAUUUUUGUUUUUCAAGAAUAUCUUACACUACAGAAGUCCAAUUGACAUGAGUUUUAAGUCAUUAGAAAGCUAAGAGGGUGGGCUACAGCUUUGAUGUUUACCACUUUGCCCAGUUCUGAUCGGAAGGUGGUGAAAAUCAUUGUCAAAGUGAAUGCACUGCACCACAAUUUUGAAACCACCCAAGAGUUUCUCACUGCAACGAGAAUCUAUUUUCACUGCAGCGAAAUUUCUCGCUACAGCGAGAAUCCAUUCUUGCUGCAACAAAAUUCAGAGCAUGGAUUAAGGCUGCCUACCCGAGAGUUUCUCGCUGCAGCGAAAAUGAAUCUCGCUGCAAUGAGAAACAGAACAAUUUAGUUGAAGGGGUCUUGUUACAUCAAAAAGCCAUUUUCUUGCUUAAAUGAAAAGCAAUUUGAGAGCAAUUAACAAUGCCAACAUACAACACAUUCACAAAUAUUUUCAUAAACUUUCUAUAACAUAUAUAUAUAUAUAUAUAUAUAUAUAUAUAUAUACAUACAUACAUACAUCAUCAUGCAUACCAUCCCGCCACACUCAGCUUAUGUGCACUCUGUACUCGCACAUAGCCAGGUUAUCAUCAGCUCAUGUGCACUCUCACACCGUACAUAGUUGGGUCAUCAUCAUCUCAUGUGCACUCCCACACCGCACAUAGCUCGGUCAUUAUUAUCACACAAAAAGAGUAUCCAAAACAUAAUAUACAUAUCAAUAUAAUGUGAUAAAACAUGAACUAUUCAUAUUGCACAUUUCACAAGAUAGAAACAUUUCAUCAAGGGUUUGUUCUCCAAGUAUAUUUUUUUAAAGCAAAAACAAAUGAAACUUUCCAAUGAUUUAUUUAAACAUGUAGGCACUUCCCAAAACAUUUUGAAUGGCAAGUUCACUCACCUUACGAUAGCGGGAUAUUACAUCGCUAUUUGUUGGGAGGCAUAUCUAGCUAUUCCUACUUGUCAGUUGCUCGUUAUUUUCCUCGGCACACCACCAUAGUACGUUACCUUUACUGUUGCACUUCUUAGCAACAAUCCCAAUUCAAUAUCUUUAGCGUACAUCAUUUAUACUUCCCUUUUUCAUUCAAUCACGAAUCCUUAUUCAACUUAACUUAUCUUGACACAAUUUUUACCAAAAUUGCUUUUAUCCCUUGCUUGUGUAAUUCUUUAAAUAAUGAUUACCGACAACUUGUUUAUGACUCUAACACAUAUAUUAAUCUUUUCUAAGGAUAUUUAUCAAGUUCAACCAUCCUUUCCACAACAACCACAAUUUCUCACAAUAUGCCACUUAAAAUGUCAACUACACAACAAUACCCAAUUUCUCAAGAUUCCUCAACUACACUUAAAACAUCAUUUGUCUUUACCUUUAUGGUUGCUUGACCCGUACUUGCACUCCAAUAUUCUUUCAAAACAUUAAUCAUCAAGCUGCCAAUAUGAUUCACACAUUAUUUCUCCAAAGAUUUAACCAACCAUGAGCUUAAAACACAAAAAUCCUUACCUUAGCUUGCUUGAAUUACAAAACCAAGCUUUUCUUCCUUUCUUUCUUUAUCUUUCUUCUUCUCCUAGGGUUUAGAUGUGCUGUAAAUUGGGGUUAGAAGCUGCAGGUUUAGUGCCCAAGAAGUUUGGAGAAGAAAGAAGUAAAAAAAGAAAGGAAAUAAAAAGAAAUAAGGGAAAUCACAUGAAAAAUUUGAUUUUCAUGAACUUGAAAUGAAAAUGGCAUUGGAAGCUUCAAGAAGAAGAAGAAAAUAUCUUGCUGGAGGAGAUAAGGA